GAAGUGCGAUAAGCAAUGCGAAUUGCAGAAUUCCGCGAAUCAUCAGAUCUUUGAACGCAAAUGGCGCCGGAGGGAUAUCCUUUCGGCAUGUCUGUUUCAGUGUCUGAGAGGUUUCACAUAAAUCUUAAUGUGAUUGAGAGGAGCGGGAGAAGUACUAACCUACUCCCCCCACUCUUCUCUCUCAUGAAAGAUGCAUGAGUGGAUCUUUCGGUCCAAUGAAGUGGUCACAUCACUCGCAUGUGAUUUCAUUGGAAAUCACCGAAUUAUCCGAAUACUCAUGGUACCUAUGUGUUAUUGUUUGGACCUAAAAAAUCUGGAUAAUAACAAACCUUCCAUACCCUGCAUCUGAGAUAGGCAAGAUCACCCGCUGAACUUAA
rnacentral:misc_RNA from 1 species